AGAGUUUGAUCAUGGCUCAGAGCGAACGUUAGCGGCGGGCCUAACACAUGCAAGUCGAACGAGAAAAUCCCUUCGGGGGUGAGUAAAGUGGCGCACGGGUGAGGAACGCGUAGGUAAUCUACCCUCGGGCGGGGGACAACACUCCGAAAGGAAUGCUAAUACCGCGUAAGACCACACUCACUAAGGUGAGAGUGGUAAAAGGUGGCCUCUUCUUGAAAGCUACCACCAGAGGAUGAGCCUGCGUCCCAUCAGCUUGUUGGUAAGGUAAUGGCUUACCAAGGCGAAGACGGGUAGCUGGUCUGAGAGGAUGAUCAGCCACACUGGCACUGGAACACGGGCCAGACUCCUACGGGAGGCAGCAGUGAGGAAUAUUGGGCAAUGGGCGCAAGCCUGACCCAGCCACGCCGCGUGUGUGAUGAAGGCCUUCGGGUCGUAAAGCACUGUGGGGAGAGACGAAAAAUUUCCAUUCAAAUAGGGUGGAGACUUGACGGUACCUCCUUAGCAAGCACCGGCUAACUCUGUGCCAGCAGCCGCGGUAAUACAGAGGGUGCAAACGUUGCUCGGAUUUACUGGGCGUAAAGCGCGUGUAGGCGGACUCGCAAGUCGGUUGUGAAAUCCCUGGGCUCAACCUAGGAACUGCAUCCGAAACUGCUUGUCUUGAGUAAUGGAGA
rnacentral:rRNA from 1 species